GAUACGGGACUCAUCCGAGGCCCCGUAAUCGGAAUGAGUACACUUUAAAUCCUUUAACGAGUAUCCAUUGGAGGGCAAGUCUGGUGCCAGCAGCCGCGGUAAUUCCAGCUCCAAUAGCGUAUAUUAAAGUUGUUGCGGUUAAAAAGCUCGUAGUUGGACUUGUGUCCCACGCUGUCGGUUCACCGCCCGUCGGUGUUUAACUGACAUGUAUCGUGGGACGUCCUGCCGGUGGUGGCGAGUCGAAAGAUCGCGCCCCCGCGGUUCUCCGUGGGUAGGUGGCGGUCCGUAGGCGGACCCCGAUGAAAUCCUACCGCGGUGCUCUUAAACGAGUGUCGAGGUGGGCCGGCACGUUUACUUUGAACAAAUUAGAGUGCUUAAAGCAGGCCUGAUGCGCCUGAAUACUGUGUGCAUGGAAUAAUGGAAUAGGACCUCGGUUCUAUUUUGUUGGUUUUCGGAACCCGAGGUAAUGAUUAAUAGGGACAGUCGGGGGCAUUCGUAUUGCGACGUUAGAGGUGAAAUUCUUGGAUCGUCGCAAGACGGACCGAAGCGAAAGCAUUUGCCAAGUAUGUUUUCAUUAAUCAAGAACGAAAGUUAGAGGUUCGAAGGCGAUCAGAUACCGCCCUAGUUCUAACCAUAAACGAUGCCAGCUAGCGAUCCGCCGAAGUUCCUCCGAUGACUCGGCGGGCAGCUCCCGGGAAACCAAAGCUUUUGGGUUCCGGGGGAAGUAUGGUUGCAAAGCUGAAACUUAAAGGAAUUGACGGAAGGGCACCACCAGGAGUGGAGCCUGCGGCUUAAUUUGACUCAACACGGGAAACCUCACCAGGCCCGGACAC
rnacentral:rRNA from 1 species